rnacentral:rRNA from 1 species
GGUAUUCCGAGGUUAUAUACUUCCCUAAACCCACUGUUUUACCUUACCUCAGUUGCCUCGGCGGGAACGCCCCGGCCGCCUGCCCCCGCGCCGGCGCCGGACCCAGGCGCCCGCCGCAGGGACCCCAAACUCUCUUGCAUUACGCCCAGCGGGCGGAAUUUCUUCUCUGAGUUGCACAAGCAAAAACAAAUGAAUCAAAACUUUCAACAACGGAUCUCUUGGUUCUGGCAUCGAUGAAGAACGCAGCGAAAUGCGAUAAGUAAUGUGAAUUGCAGAAUUCAGUGAAUCAUCGAAUCUUUGAACGCACAUUGCGCCCGCCAGCAUUCUGGCGGGCAUGCCUGUUCGAGCGUCAUUUCAACCCUCGAGCCCCCCCGGGGGCCUCGGUGUUGGGGGACGGCACACCAGCCGCCCCCGAAAUGCAGUGGCGACCCCGCCGCAGCCUCCCCUGCGUAGUAGCACACACCUCGCACCGGAGCGCGGAGGCGGUCACGCCGUAAAACGCCCAACUUUCUUAGAGUUGACCUCGGAUCAGGUAGGAAUACCCGCUGAACUUAAGCAU